rnacentral:lncRNA from 14 species
GAGCUUUGUGUGCUGACCAGAGUGGAAAGAUCUCAGGAGGGGAAAAAAACCCCAGAGCCUUUCAGGUUGAUCUGAAAUGGUUUUGAUGUUCUUCCUCUUCCCUCCUCCCCCGAACUGGCAAUAGACAACCGCUCAUCACAGAACGUGGCACAGAUUCAAGUAGUUUUGGUUAAACUGUAUUUUUUCACCAUUAAUUGUGAAGAUUUUUGUUGUUGUUGCCCAACCCAAGGACCCUCCUGUGUUUUCCUAAGCAACAGCACAGUCCUGGGGUGGGAGCUUCCAGUGGGAGAAGGAAGAAUGAGAGUUUUCAUUCCUGUGUGAACCUCAAGCGUUUCCUCCUGUCCCUUUUGCAUCCUCUCUCCUAUCUGCCUUCCCUCCAGGGGCUGCACCCACACCUCAGAGGCUGAUGGGCCAUUAGUGUUCUUCCCAGGACUGAGCAGUGAGGUUGGAUGCAGGGGAACAGAGCUACGGGCACAGGGCACAGCCACCUUCUUGAACAUAAGGCAAACCAAAUUGGGAAAGGACAGAAGGGAUGGAGGAGCCCUGCUUGUGCGUGGUACACUGACUGGCACUCUGACUCCUUCUCCAAGCCCUUCCUUCAGACUACUGCCUGUCCUCAGAGCCAGGCUGAGCUUCACCAACAGAUGCAUCUUCUUCCCCGCCUGCUCCAUUGGUGCGAGUGGCCUCAUCUCUGCAAAGUAAAUACAAGAAGAGAAGCUAAGUGGGAAUCUGAGUUGUACUCAUGCUGAGAGCUGGCCAAAGAAGGAGAAAACAUCAGUCUCAAGAGGGUUUUCAAGAUUUGGACAUCUGGCUUCAUCUUUUACUAUGCUCAAACAGGAUCUGUCAACUUGCAUCAAGGAAAUCAAGAAGAGCCUAGCCUUUAAAGUCAGUGCUGCCAUAGAAUCAUAUCAUCAACUAGGCUGGAAGAGAUCUCAGGGCUAGAAAGUUCACGAAGCACACGGGAGAAAGAAGCUGAGUCUGAAUCCAUGACUUGAACACAAACCUACACCCCAUAGCCAAAUAUUGUGGGGCUCAUUUCUCUCUUGUUAUGCUAAGAAAUUCUGGCCAGAAUACAAGAAAGUGAAAUGCAAAACAAAGUAAUAAUAAUCUGCCAAAAUUAAAGCUAAGUUAUGGAACUUCCACGUUCCUCAGCUGUGUGUGUUUUGUGUUUGAGAAAAUCCAUGUGAAGAUUUCACCUAUUUAGCUUUGGAUGGUUUCAUUAUUAGCAGGCCACAAAUGAAUUAGGUGGAUGAUGCAAAAGCGACUGCCAAUAAAAUACUUACACUGU